rnacentral:tRNA from 1 species
AAGAUUCUAGCUUAGUUAAAGCGCCUGAGUUGCAUUCAGGAGAUGUGGGUUAAUAUCCUGCGGAUCUUA